rnacentral:piRNA from 1 species
UGCCAAGGAUACUCGAUGGAACUCGAG